ensembl:lncRNA
CAACUCGAGACACUCCUUGGUGUUGAACCUGUUCAAGCAGCGGUUAUCGAUGUGUGAAUUUGUUUAUUGCUGUAUGUUGUCCAUUGCUAUUGUUUUUGGAAAAGUAUAAUACAAGCACAGAGUUGACUGUAUUUUUUUUUUCAGUUUGUACAGUCUGAUGGUGAUGCCCAUAGAUGUUAUGGCCUGUUUUGUGUGGUGUAAAUGGCACCUCAUUUUGUCUAUAGUGUGUCCUGGGAUCUUGCUAGGCGCCGAGCGGGUCUCAGGUCUCUUAUCCUCCUUGGAGGAAGCUAUGUUGCUGAUCUAAUUCAUUGUAUAUGUGAUGUGAAUUUGUUUGAGGCCACUGUAUCUGUUAUUGUGGGUUUAUACAUUUUAUUAUUAUUUUUUUUUUGUGUACUCUUUAGGAUUUUGUGUAAUUCUUGGGGGGUGAAUGUAACAGGGUCAAAAAUCACUUGUUAUAAUUACACAAAAUGUGUUCUAAACCCCCAAACUGUUCCUUUCAUACCUGACCUUUAGGACCUCCAAGCCUGUAGUUAUGUUCAAUAUCAGUUAGAGCCCCUCCUCAUUCUUUUCUUCUUCUUCUUUGGUGCAACCUUAUAAAUACAGUGUACCCCUUUUGCCUCUCCCCUUUUCUACAAUUCCCCUGUGGGAGAGGUUGGUGUAAUUUCUUUCCCAACACUGUAAAACGCUAAUAUAAUUCAUAUUUAGCCACCUGGAUGUUUCUGAUUGUGAUUUUAGUUCAAUUAUUGUCAUUGUUAAGCCUGUUUUUUGUUAGAUGUUACAAAUGUGUAGUAUGUGUGUGCCAUAUGUGUGUUCUAGGGAACGUGAACACUAGCAUGAAUAGAUAAUUCUUGCUAGCUUGGAAGUUGUGGUGGGUUAAGCUAACCCUCUUCCCCACUGUUUGUGUUUGGUCAUAGGAGCUGGAGUGGGCAAGCUAUUUAUUUGGAGGUCUUUCUUUCUUUCUUUCUUUCUUUCUUUCUUUCUUUCUUUUACCGUUUUUAUCAGACACAACGCAGA